rnacentral:lncRNA from 1 species
CCUGUAACCCAUUCACAUCUUCCUCUUUUUCUUCAACAACCAUUCAUCGCCGUCGGUAUGUGACUCUAUGUCUUUUUCUUUUCCGUUUUUUGUUUUGUUUUUUCAUCUAUUACCAUCUAUAUCAUCACUCGUUGUUCCUUAAUACCAUCUCGUUAGUUUUAAUAUUAUGUCUACUUGUAGCCCCUUCUUACCAUCUCGUAACCCUUUAAUCUAUACACUUGUUCCUCAUGACGAUAUUGUAAAUCUACUCAAAUUAUAUACUUGUUGUCUCGUUGUUCCUUAAUACAUUCUUUUA